GAUGAAGAACGCAGCGAAAUGCGAUAAGUAAUGUGAAUUGCAGAAUUCAGUGAAUCAUCGAAUCUUUGAACGCACCUUGCGCUCCUUGGUAUUCCGAGGAGCAUGCCUGUUUGAGUGUCAUUAAAUUCUCAACCAUUAUCAACUUUUGCUGAUAAUGGCUUGGAUGUGGGGGUCUAUUUUGCUGGCUUCUCAGAUAGUCAGCUCCCCUUAAAUGCAUUAGCCGGUGCCCCGCGUGGACUGUCUAUUGGUGUGAUAAUUAUCUACGCUAUGGACAUCUGCAAUCAUAUGGGUUUGCGCUGCUUCUAACAGUCUGUUGAUUCAGACAAUACAUGACAAUUUGACCUCAAAUCAGGUAGGACUACACGCUGAACUUAAGCAUAUCAAUAAGCGGAGGA
rnacentral:misc_RNA from 1 species